rnacentral:rRNA from 1 species
ACAAGUAGCGGAGCAUGUGGUUUAAUUCGAAGCAACGCGAAGAACCUUACCUAAGCUUGACAUCCCAAUGACAUCUCCUUAAUCGGAGAGUUCCCUUCGGGGAUAUUGGUGACAGGUGGUGCAUGGUUGUCGUCAGCUCGUGUCGUGAGAUGUUGGGUUAAGUCCCGCAACGAGCGCAACCCUUGUCUUUAGUUGCCAUCAUUAAGUUGGGCACUCUAGAGAGACUGCCAGGGAUAACCUGGAGGAAGGUGGGGAUGACGUCAAAUCAUCAUGCCCCUUAUGCUUAGGGCUACACACGUGCUACAAUGGGUAGUACAGAGGGUUGCCAAGCCGUAAGGUGGAGCUAAUCCCUUAAAGCUACUCUCAGUUCGGAUUGUAGGCUGAAACUCGCCUACAUGAAGCUGGAGUUACUAGUAAUCGCAGAUCAGAAUGCUGCGGUGAAUGCGUUCCCGGGUCUUGUACACACCGCCCGUCACACCACGGGAGUUGGAGACGCCCGAAGCCGA